GUCGAGAAUUUUUCACAAUGGGGGAAACCCUGAUGGAGCAACGCCGCGUGGAGGAUGAAGGCCCUCGGGUUGUAAACUCCUGUCAUGCGGGAACAAGAAAGUGAUAGUACCGCAAGAGGAAGAGACGGCUAACUCUGUGCCAGCAGCCGCGGUAAUACAGAGGUCUCAAGCGUUGUUCGGAUUCAUUGGGCGUAAAGGGUGCGUAGGUGGCGAUGCAAGUCUGGUGUGAAAUCUCGGAGCUCAACUCCGAAAUUGCACCGGAUACUGCGUUGCUAGAGGAUUGUAGAGGAGAGUGGAAUUCACGGUGUAGCAGUGAAAUGCGUAGAUAUCGUGAGGAAGACCAGUUGCGAAGGCGACUCUCUGGGCAAUUCCUGACACUGAGGCACGAAGGCCAGGGGAGCAAACGGGAUUAGAAACCCUGGUAGUCC
rnacentral:rRNA from 1 species